GAGCGCAGGCCGCGCCGGCCUCGGGAGGGGAGGGGAGCUCUCAGGAGGGACAGAGGGUCCCACAGGAGCUUGAGAGGCCGCGGAAGACCUCGACCCUUUCUGGCACUUCGGCGACCGCAGCUCCAGGGCCGGACGGUGCUCUGCAGAAAGGCCUGCAGCGGACAGCGGCUCUUCCGGCUGUGGGCGACCCCCUCGGAUCGCGCCCAGGGUCGCGCAGGGUCUGGCUGGGGAGCUGGCCGGGGAGCUGGGUGCACGGGGCAGGCAGGCUUGGGGCGGGGCAGAGAGAAUGCGGGCAGUAAGCCAGGUUUCCAGUUGUUUGAUUUCUUUCCUUUCUUUCGUUUGGACCGCGCCUGGGCCUGGGCGGUCAGGAACCCACCUGCUGGGGCGGCCCGGCCCAGAGCGCGGGAGCCGCCUUCGCCCCGGAACCAGGCUGGCUCGCUCGCGCUCGCUCCGCUCCUUCAUUCCUUCAUCUCUUGCACGCUCGCGUGUAUUCACGUGGGCAACUGUGUGCGAGUGAGCACACCCUCCUGCGAGCGGCGUCAGGGGACCUCGCUCAGGACACUGCCAGCAUCAGUCGUUCAGAGCCCCGCGGGCCCUAGGCGCCCGAGGCAUUUCGUCGCCUGCUUUGCCGCCGCUGGGGAACCAUGGCCGGUUGUGGGUUCAGUAGAGACUGGACCCGGGGUCGAGGAUCGGGUAGUGAAUCGUCAAGCGCGGCCCCUGGGCCACCGAACGCCAGGACUGCAUCGCCCAGUCCUGGCUGGGCUCCGCGGGCACCAGAGAGCGGGGUGGAAGAGGCGGAUCGCGUGUGGCGACACAGGGCGCAGCGGACCCCGCUCGAGCACCCGCCCUGGACCUGUGGGCGCGCAGACGGAGAGGCGAGGAGAGGUGAUUCGAGAGAGAACUUCGAGCUCUGCUCACCUCCUAAAGCACUUCUUCCUUCUUUCCUUUUCCCUUCUUACUUCCCUCCCUCUCUUCUUUCCCCUUCUCUCUCUCCUUCCCCUUUUCUCUAACUUCUCUCCUCCCCAUGUGCUUGCAGGAACUCCGGGUGUGAACUCAGAAACACCCAAAUUGGAGUUUGCGGCGUCUGACCCCAGCCUCACUCUACCUGUGAAAUGAGAACAGUGCUGCUGGGCUCAUGCAGCAUUUCUGAGAACUCCUAUAUUUUCAUGGAGUGUUAAACAACUGAAAACAUUUUAAAGGACCCUCUGUGAAGUGGGCAGCCCGAGUCUGGGCCUGAGUCUUUUCCCAGAUGGAGUAGGAAGCAGAGCCCAAAGAUGCAUCUCUGGCCCGCAAGCCUGUGCCACCUGGUCCUUGUGCACCAGAGGAGGGGCUUCCCCAAGGCUGUGUGGUCCCCUUGGCCUCCACCCUGUCCAGUCUGACCUCUGCAAGUCCAGCAGACCUUCUCAUCGCAUGCUUGGAGCUCAGGCAUGUCCAGGACAACUGAAAGGCAAGUGGGCAAACCCUGGCCAGGGCUGGGGUGCAGCCCAGAGCCAGGGACCUGGCCAGGCCCCUCCCCAUCCCCUGAGGCCCCACUUGUGGCUGGUCCAGCAACCAGCCUCGUGCAUUUCCUACAAGUUGCUGCACUCAAAAUUCCUCAUUUCUAACCCACAGAAAUCUCUUCAGUCAUUUAGGAGAAAUCCACCAACGUUCCUAAUUUAGAAUAACUUUCUGAGGGGUGAAAACAAACAGCAGGGAUUUAAGAUAUACCUGCAGGCUGAACCUAGCUGAGCAAAGCAGCAGAAUGCAGACACCUGGACAGAGUUUCUCCCAGGCCUUGGGGACUGUAGCUCUUUCACGUGGAGGGUGUUUUCAGACUAGCUUGCUCGUGGCUGUGGGUGUAACAUCAAAGCCCUUUUGUAAGAGCGGAUUAACAGCAACACAAUACUAAGGUACAACCCCCCCCCACCAAGUUUUCUUGGGGUUCCUGGGAUCAGCCCCCACCCCGCCUGGCAGUUUCCUGUCACCUGGGUGGCUGUGCAGAAUCCCUGUCUCCAGUCCCACCUGUUACACCAGCUGUGCGAGCUUCAGCAAGAUACUUAGCCGGGCCCAGAGCCUCGCUGUGGCCCCGAGAGCUGGAGGACGAGGGGUCCACGCUCUGUGCACCCUCUGGGUGGCGCCGAGACACUACAGCCCUUGUGAGAGUGUCCACUUCUCCCCAGCGCCGCAGGCUGGAGAGUUCCCAGUCAAGAACAGACUUUUUCUCCCUUAAUUCUCUUCACCUCCACUCCGAACACUGUCCGGCCUCUGAAAGAGAGCACUUGUGCCAGACCACUGCACAGAAGUGAUCUUUCUUAGGUCACAACUAUGAACUCCCAAAUUUCGAUGGAAAAUCAACAAAUUUCAAGAAAAACUAAUGAUUGGUUCAAAGGAAUGUAUUUCUUUCUCUUUGUUUUUUAUUCUACUGCUUCUUCCAAAAUGCCUAGAGGAAGAUGGGAAGGAGUGGGACCCACCCACAACAGUGCAGCCACCAGCCUGGAGAAUCUGCCUAGGUCCUGCGCCCUCGGGGGCUCCUGGCCAGGUGUGAGAGGCGGAGGGGGCUGUGAGACAGCCUGGGAAUCUCAUAUUGAAUUUAAGAAAAACAAAACAAAACAAAACAGACAAUAGUAUUAGUUUGAAAUCCACCCAUUAAAGCAAUCUUAAGCUGAGAGGCUGAGGACACUUGUUUGUUUAGCUUAAGAGACUGCUUUAAUGGGUGGAUUUCAACCCGCUAUUAUGUUGGGUGUCUUAAACAAAAUGCCAAGACCAUAGCAUAGCACAGCGGGCCUGCAGAAGCUCACAGGAGACCCGGAGGCUCCGCACAAGCAGUGCUCUGGUCAGGAAAUAAAACACACGCAGCCCGGCUGCUCUGAGGCUCCCUGUCACUAAACUAAGUUUCCUUGAAGCAGCCACUGAGUAGCAGUCCAUUAAAAAGCAGUUACUACUAAAAAUCUGAGGGAUAGUAAGGCCAGCAGAUCGAGUGGGAAAGAGUAUGUUAACAUUUCUUGGGGGGAACGUGGGGUGUGGGGUCAGCAGGAGGCAGAGGGAGAAGGGCUAACUGUGGGCAGGAGCCUUUGCCACAGAGGAAGGGAUGGUCAGGCAGGGUGAGCAGGUUUAGGUUGCCUGGAGGGAAGAUCCCAACAGGCUCUGGGGUGCAGGGCCUGGCCCGAGCCCUCUGGCACCCGGGCCUGGAGAUAGGGCAGGGGAUGGCGACCAGGAGUGUAAGAGACCUUCAGAGGAGGCCGCUGAGUUGGCUCAGGACUCUGGGUCUGCACACGAAAGACAGGCUCCUGGGUGAGUUCUGUGGUCCCCGCAGGACUUGGCUAACUCUGGGAGACACAGUCCCUCAAGGGUCUGCAAAGCCCCAGCAAUCAAAGAAUCCGGAUAUAGAAAACACAGGGCGUGAUGAAUAUGCAUCCAUCUUUGCCACUCCAGAACCUAAAAUAAUGCUUUGCACAUAGUGGGCACUCAACAAAGAGGAAAAGAUGGAAAGAAAAAAGGAAAGGAAGAAGGAAGAGGGAAGCACCUGUUGGCUAGUUGGGUCGUAAGAGGGCUGCUUUUGAUAGCCUUAUUCCCACAAACUCUGCAGUAAGCUGCCCAGAGC
ensembl:lncRNA